rnacentral:rRNA from 1 species
GACGAACGCUGGCGGCGUGCCUAAUACAUGCAAGUAGAACACACAGUUUAUACCGUAGCUUGCUACACCAUAGACUGUGAGUUGCGAACGGGUGAGUAACGCGUAGGUAACCUGCCUGGUAGCGGGGGAUAACUAUUGGAAACGAUAGCUAAUACCGCAUAAUAUUAAUUAUUGCAUGGUAAUUAAUUGAAAGGUGCAAUUGCACCACUACCAGAUGGACCUGCGUUGUAUUAGCUAGUAGGUGAGGUAACGGCUCACCUAGGCGACGAUACAUAGCCGACCUGAGAGGGUGAUCGGCCACACUGGGACUGAGACACGGCCCAGACUCCUACGGGAGGCAGCAGUAGGGAAUCUUCGGCAAUGGACGAAAGUCUGACCGAGCAACGCCGCGUGAGUGAAGAAGGUUUUCGGAUCGUAAAGCUCUGUUGUAAGAGAAGAACGGGUGUGAGAGUGGAAAGUUCACACUGUGACGGUAUCUUACCAGAAAAGGACGGCUAACUACGU